rnacentral:lncRNA from 1 species
UAUCAAAAAUAACUAUUAACGUGAUACCUGGAACAACUGUCACGUUUUGAAUCUUAUCUCAUGCGACGAGAUAAUUGAUACAUGUGUUCCCUGAUAACUCGGUAGAUGAAAAUUAGGGCUAUGAUUAUCUGUGCAAAUCUCAUUGGACAGACUAAUCCAGUUUGGGAGACUGAAUAGGCAUGUGAUUAUUCAACAGUCUCAGUAAACGUCGUUGUUGAUGGUUAAUUUAUAAGGUCUAUGUCUAACUUCCAGAUGUUAUAACCAAUGUUUUCUGAAUAGGAAAAUCUGCCGUCCACAGGGAAACCUGCAUAUAAUUGGGGUGGGUCGCCAGACCGCCAUAUUUAGGCAUUAAAGGGGCGGUGGCUAUCGUCCGCAUUGAAUCAUGUUUGUUGCUCGUUGACCUCUCAACCUGUAAAAUGGGGUCUUGCAUUUAUGCCACCCGUUGUGCCUCAUCUAGGAACUGCAUGCGACACAGUUCCCUGUUUGCUGCAGAUGGGUGGGUGCAGCUUAACCGACUAAGAGCGGCAGAGUUUCUGGACCAGUUCGACAUGCAGCCUCCACCCUCCACUCUCCCAGGAACGGGAUGGAAGCUGCUAGCAUUGCAAGAAGCUUCGGCGUUUGACGAGGACCUGGCAAAAUCACCACUAAAGUCUCCGAACCAAACACCGAAGCAGCCCACCCGGGAUCCACUGAAGCUUUAAGAUUCAGGCUGCAGGCUCUUCUCGAAACUCCGCGGAAACCGACGGUGGGGUCGAGGAAUAGCGUUUUUCCGAUGCCGAUGCCUUCUGUCGAUUUGCAUGGAACAAGUUGAAACUUUCUUAAUUAGCCAACGGAUCCUAAGCUAUAUUAUGAAUUAUUCCUUUAUUUUUCUGCAUACUUUAGUCCUUUUUUAUUUUCCAUAAUGAGCGUUCGAGCUUCCUAGCCCCACAGAUGAGUACGACACUUUUCUCUAGUUGCUGCAUCAAGUAUCAUUCGUUCCUUCGAUGCGAUGCGACAUCGUCCCCUGAUGAAAAUUCACCUCACAAGCCGGCGCUGGAAACGGGCGGCGUGUCGCGUGAGGGGCUGGUAAUGAGGAACAAUGUCGAGGAGAGGGCGCCAUAGUUCUUCUCGUGACCCAGGUGGAAUCCUUUCGAAACGUCGUUGAAAGGUCAUACUGUGAAAACCACCCGGGAAGUAACUACUGCUGCUCUGGCAGAAGUAUGUAAGGGUAAGAGCCGAAAGUGGCAAUUGAUCUCAACAAGCAAACUGUAGAUUCACGGAAACACACUAUUCAGGGGUGAUGAUAUCGAUCUGGCUGGCCGUAACAUUGACGGGUGCUUUCUAAUGAAGUUCACGAAGACCACGGGCCACACACGCGUCGAAUUCGCUACGACAGCUGGUCAUGCGAUGUAGUGGGAAGAUUCGUUAAUACUCGUCGCGAUAUAUUUACUCGUCGACAGUCAGAUAAGACUUUAGUGUAGCUGGUGCUUGAUCAGGACGAGGUCGAUCUAAUCUUCAACGUGGUGAUUUAUGCAGUGCGUUCCAAUCUGCAUGUCGCUUCCGUCGCUAUCUGAUUCUAGUACCAUGUGAUUAAUCUACCUGGCGCUUCAUAUAAGAUCUUCCAGAACAGAUGUGAAGUCAUAAGGGUUUGUGUGAAAUGUACCAACUUUCUGAAGUCCGAGGUGGACUUGUCAUUUUCAUGUAAGACGAGCUCCAGAGGGGCGGUAGAAUAAUCCUUGCGUCGCAUUGGGUUUCUGUCUUCGAGAAAUUGCUAUAAAUCUUUCAGGGGAGUUGCCUCGAAGGUUAUUGUGGCCUCCCUUCCAAAUCUCCAGAGUGAUGAAACAUAGUUCGAACGCCACCUCUCUUGUGACCUGAUACGAACUCGAUACAGAGCUUGGUCCCCAGAUUCAAGACUUGUGCCUUUUUUGCGAAGAAUUGAUAUUGUUUUUCAUACCAUCAUCUACUCUUAGUGUCAUCUAGUUUCAGUUUUGGAAUUGGAGCGGAGGCCGCUGUCUAGUGAGGUCGUUGCAACUCAGAACUCCAGUGGACAGAUAAGUGAUCAACAUGGGAUGGUCUCCUGAAAGUGCUGCGCAAGCUUACAUGCAAACUGUAGAACUGGUGAGUACACAUUGCACAUUUUCACUGAUUGGAAAGAGCGAUGUGAUGUCGUAGGAUAACCUAAGGCAGCGCCUUACGUUUAACACUGCCACUUUUCUCUCAAUUUGAACGGGCCCAAAAUUGUAUCAAGAAUAGUCCUACGAUUACACAAGCGUAUUGUGUAGAAUUCACCAUCCCAUUUGGCUUCAUGUUGCAUUUGUUAUGAAGGCCGUUAACCUUAAUCGGAUUUAUUUUUAUUUUUAUUUGUGAUAUCUCUGAUGGAUAGUACUAUUUUCUUGCAGUGUAUGGUAGGCAUUGGUAAGAAAUAUACUUCAACGGCCGUAGAGCACCACAGCACGGAGUUUCUCGCUGCAUUGGCUGGUGGUAUCGAGGCGAAGCUUCUGGUUCAAGUCACUACUUGUGCGAGCCCGGCUACUGUUGCUCUCGCUGUCGCUGCUCGCAAAACAGGGGGCCGUUUGAUCUGCGUCCUCUCGGAAUCAGAUGCUCUUCUGAAUGCAAUGGUUGCCAUGAAUACAUUAGGUCUGUCCAGAGUGGUGGAGUUCAUUGUCGGCAACUCGAAGGAUAUUCUUCCCCAGUUUUCGGACGUAGAUUUUGCGCUCAUAGACUGUAAACAGGAGGAGUCUUUGGACAUCUUUGACCAUUUGCGUUUGACCCCAACCCGAGCUGUGGUGGUUGCGGAGAAUCUGUUCAAAAGAGAUGCCAGGGCUUCAUACGAGAAGAAGAUGACUAACAGGCCGGGGUUUAAUUCUACUAUUCUCCCAAUCGGCAAAGGAAUUGAAGUUGCAAGACUUUGCCGUGAUGAAAAGCGCACUGGGAAGAGAAGAAUCAAUAAAAGAGUCAGUUGGGCGAUGGACAUGGAGGACAUUCUUCAACGUUAAACAUCGGUUAAUUGUGAUGCAUCUUCUACAUUGAAACCUACUGAAAUACAUGGGCGACUACCUGAGCGUUGUUUCCAAGCUGAUAUAACCGUUUCAUCUAUCUCAAGCUCAUCUUCAAAUAACUGCAAUACAGGUCAGUGUUUUAUAUCAAAUUAGUUUUCAAGCCUUUGAGUUUCGUUAUGGUUUGGCUUAAGUCUCGUAUCAUGGGUUCGAGUAUUGUACUUAGGUUUGCAGUUAAAUUGAGCAUGCUUCAGCGGCCUCGUUCUCAUCGUGUCUUGUGCUAUCUGUUUAGAUAUAUAUUUUUGGAUUUGGGCGACAAGGCAACCCCGCUCUUGUGAGCGUGAGGUUUAUACAGUGCUGGAGACUACAAAUUACGUAUUGUACCAUUAACUUGUGUACAAAAGAGAGGAAGCCCUAUUGUACCGUGUGCGUCAAUCGGAGUGAUACCGGAGCAGUGUUUACUUAAUGAAUCAAAGUAUUCCAAUACAAUCGGAGGAGGUAAAUCCAUUUGCAUUUUCAGAGAAAGUUUCCAUUUCCACAAACUAUUUAUUUAGUACGAUCCCUUUCAAAGCAAUGUAGAACUGCAAGAAUGACAAUUUUGCUUCUACAUCAUUUAGCUGGUGACCUCGUACAAAACCUAGGUGUCAAAAAGUGAUGCCUACAGUUCACUUUACACGAAGUAAUAAUGCAAUGGAAAACAGUCACAUGAUUUGGACAACCUUUAUCCGCAUAAUAUGGUUGGAAAUCGUACCUCUUUUGUCAUUCUUGGCUAGUUGUUCAACACCAUUGUACCCCAGCUAACUGCGGCAUGCUUCAUUGAGUUCAAUCUGUUCAACAAUGUUCAAUCUAUUUGUAGCAACUUUGUCCGUGAACGACAAUCUCUGUUUCCGACAUUGCACCUCUUGUUUAAACGAUGAACACUGCUUUUAUAAUUCGUUUUUCCUUCCUUACAGCCGCAGUACCCCAAUUUGCAGAAUAUCAGAUAAGUAUGUUAACAGAUUUAAGGCGCAUGAUGAAAACUUUUUCAUGUUCAUUGUCAGUAGCAGUUGACAAUAGAAAUUGCUUCAUCAUAUUAAAACAAAAUGAUUGACCUGAGCAAAUUUAUUUAAGCGAUGUACGACAUUUUUAACGCUGUUAUUUCUAAUAUUGCAACAAUGGAAUACAACAAUAUGUUUGCAAUUAAGAAAGCAAUCAAUCUCUGUCAAAGCUCAUCGCAUUGAAUUGUGUUGCUUUGAAAGGUUCUGUAAAUUUUACUCCAAGAAAGUAGAUUAUGAUAGUGUAUGGAAUUCUCAACAUCUUCAUCACAAUGUGGCCAACACAAAAUCCAUUUGUAUGCGUUGCGAAGGAGCAUGUGAGUGGCGUGAAAAUGAGAACAGCCUCUAGAACGUACAUUUGACUAAUCUACUCACCAGGGCCAGACGAUUAGGCAACUAAGGCAAUCCAGGAUACCACAUCAAGAACAAAGUAGAAACAACACCGCAAUUUUAUUUUUUAGCUUACCACAAGAAGCAUGGGUGUUGCUGUCAAUUGGUCAUUGUUGCACAAUUUUAGCCGAAUUCAUCAUACUGCAAGCGUCUCAUAAUAGGCGAACCAUCAAUUCUCAGUUUCUUCAUUUGUUUUCAGCCAAAUUCUCACCAUCAAAACAAACUCUGUAGAGGAAGUUAGCUAUCAUAGAUACAGGAAUCUCAACUGGGUGGAACAAUGUCCACCCCCCCCCCCCCCACCCAAAGGUGAGGAUAGCUGACAAUGAGUAAAAGCCCCGGGAAGACUUGGACCUUUCUGUGUACCAAAAUUCCAUUCAUCAGCAAGGGAGUCUGCGUCCUUAUUUUCCUAAAAGAAAAUGAAAAAGAAAAACUCUGCAGUAGAUACUCUUGUGGGAACAUUUGAUGUCGUUAAUAGCAGCAACAUUUUCUGGAUAAACCAACAGACGCUGUCCCUCUAGUUACUUGAUGUACACAUGGAUCAAUCGCAAGAUUUCUUGAAAUUGGAGGCUAGAGCAGACAGUCAAAAAGCCACAGUUUCUCCACUGAAAUCAGUAAAAUAUAGAAUACAGUAGUCUGGGUUAAUUCGGAGCACAAUGCUAAAAUAUUGCCCACAUUUAAGUCUUACAAUAUAUCAUGCAAUUUACCAGCAUGAAAAGGCAAUAUCAAUAACCAACCUAAGAGAACUUAUCCUAGCUAUUAAUUUCCGUUUGGAUAAUUUCAAUCAAUAUAUGACAACUCAUUCAAAAAUCUUUGGUGAUGAGAUAUGGUGUGAUAGGUAGGUUAGGAAACUAAUGUGGGCAGGGAUUAUAGACUACGGGAGAAUUACGUGGAAAAUGACCCAUACAAGUAUAACUCAUAAACCUGAUCUCAGUAUGGAUUUCAAUAUGAUCUACGUAUGAUCUUUGUGUAAAUUAAGUAAAAAUAAACCUGAUUUUAGGCCAUAGAGAUGGUGGUUUUGUAAGAUGGAAAACUAUUGGAACCCUAACAGUUUCAGUAACGAACAUAUAGUAGACCCUUGUUCCGUAAUACAUGGUACAAUCAUGACCCAAGGAAGAGUCACGACCCUUCUGGUUGUGACUUUCUUCAAUAAUAUAUUUUUGUACAAAACAUAUACUUUAUAAUAUAAAAUAACAACAUUAUCUUAUUUAGUAUAUAGGCAAGUCUAAUAUGAUAUCAAAGCAUCAAUAGCAGUAUUUAGAAGAAUGAGUUCAGAAACAUAGAAAACUAGAAGAAGAAGCUCACAAAAAAAUGGAUUGUGCUAAAGACAUUUUGCACAAAAAUUGGGGCACCAAUAGACCUUCUCUUUUAUAAGUACGGCUUCUAAAAGCCUCACCACAAAGGAAUGGCCAAAAUUUGAUGGCUCUUGGUAUAUUGUAAAGAAAUUAAAGACAAAAAUGAAAUUUGAAAUAAAAGAGAUGUGGGAAAUAGUUUUUAGUAUAGAAAAAGAAUCAAUACCAAUUUCAAAUAUAAGUAUAAUAAUACAAUCACUACCAAAAAAACUACAAAGAAAUAUAAACAUGUCAAGGACAAGAACUUGAUGAAAAAACAAUUCAGACAAGUGAGCCUUCAUUCAAAGAGAGGUAACAAAAUAUAUAUAAACAAAGAUAUAUAUUGAAAGAGAAACUGGAAUGGCUAUUGCCAAAAGACAAGAAAACUAGAGACCGUUGAAACUAGACUAGAAGCAAGAAAGGAGUUGACAAGAGUGAAGAAGCCUUCACUCUUGUCUCUAUACAUACUAUCUAACUAAGGGCUACGUGGCGACGUUCUAUAGGACCUCCAAUAUGUGUUGACUUUGUAGCACACAUGCCUUGACUUACAAGGCAAGUUCUUCUAUGUGUGGGCCACAUAGUUAGCUUGAUCUUCAAGUUAACAACAUGUGUGGUACAUGGCUAACUUAUUGACGACGUUUCUAAUCCAAAAAGUCAAUUGAAGACACCUAUGAAGUCAAAGUAGCAUCUAUGAAGCUUCUAGGAAGCUUCCAUAUUAAAUACUAUAGAAUUAACUUACUUUUACCUACUUUUACUUAUUUCUACCUAUUUGUAUAUGUAAUUACUAGCUUACAUGAUUAUAUCCGUGACAUUACCCUCCCUUCUAGGGGCGAGUUUUACGAGGAGCAGUCAUCAUAUGUUGAGAAAAUCUAUGAUGUGACGAAUUGUAUUCACUACAUACUCUGAUCUUUGUUCUCUUCGAAGAUGAUUGAUAGGGCCUCUCAACCAUCGGUAGUGUCUCAUACUAGGGCGGGAAGACCACCCAAUUAUUUGAUCAUUGUUGAAGCCUUCGUAACUUCCUUCGAAUAGAAUAUUUGGAACACCAUCAGGAGUUGUUCCUACCUCUAUCACAAUCACAAAACAUCGGGAGUCCCUUCCCAAAUCAUGAUACCAAAUGCGUUGUAUCUCGCGAUCUAUUCGAGGAAGAACAUGUCGUUCUUGAAGAUCUUCAUCUCGAUUGUGUCGUCUUGAAGGUUGUGACAAUUGUAAUGUCUCAUCCGGUGUCGUAUUACGUACUUUCUUGCUCGAGAACGCGCUGGGCGUCUGGCUGUAGAAGGUAGUAUGGAGAUUCACCGAUAGUCAAGCAGUCUAUCAGUUUUGACUGCUGGAAUAUAAACGACUGCAACAAUGUACCGUAAAUCUAUACGGAUGCUCUUCGACUGCUUGUCGAAGUCCUUUUUACCCCAGCCGAUAGGUCUCUAGACGUUACAGAGAACCCCGAACAACCCAAACUGUUAAUCUUCAAUACCGCUUUGUACUUACGAUCUUGUAUCCACUGACUGUCUGGUUAGAUUAACCCAAUAAAUUUCAUUCACUCCGCAUACUCAAUCCUAUAGACACCCUUUUAAUCCUUCAAUCACAGACGUAACUCGAUUUCACAAAACAGUCAAGAGUAUUCAAACCCACUUCAUUAAAAAUCCCGAUUCACCAUUACAAUACUGACUUCAGCAGCGAUUGCCUCAGUCUUCCCAAAACUCUACGAAGAAAAAAAUCCAAAUUCUCUGUCUUUCCUUCCCCGACCCGAAGCAUGAAGCCCCCCUCUCUAAUCCCCCUCUUCAAAACUAUCCAAUGAAAACCGAACUAGUAACCUUGCAAAAGCUUGAAAACUAGCUCCCCCCGAUUCCCAGAGAAAAAAAAAAAACCCCCCCCUGAUCUCUGAUCUGAAAAAAAAAAAAAACUCCCUAAAAACUGAUUCCCCUUCAAACUUAUUCUCCUCCUAACCUUAUCCUCUUGAAUUCCUUCAAUCUUCCGUCUUGGAUCCGAAAUUGGCUCCCGUCGUCAGAGCUUAGAUCCGAAAUUGGCUCACAUCAUCAAGGCCUUUUCCUCCGUUUUUACCUUUAAGAGAUCCAUUUACCGCAAACAACGUUCCCUGAAACGGCACAGAGAACAGGACAGCCUGAAACAAAAUCGAAACCCCUUACUCGGGUACACAUUGAGUUGCCCGACCAAUUCAGGUCCCAUAUUGGGAAAGAUCCCCGUAGUAACCUGGAUGUUCGCAUAAUUGGGUCAAAUUGGUCCUCACGUCAGAUUGGCUAAGGCCCGUAGUAAGACCUGGAUUUCCCGUAAUUAGAUUGCAUUGGGUUGACCGGCCAAUUCAGGUCUCAUAUUGGGUAAGAGGACCCGGAUUGGAUUCUCGAAAUUGGAUCCAAUUGGCUCUUUGAAUCCGUCGUGUGAAUUGGUCCUUCUCUUCUUACUGACUCCUGUUAUUGGAAUUGAAUGGAGCAUUUCAGUAUGCCCCGGCUGACUGUAACAGGGUGACUGAACCUGGCCACUCAGUAUUUGUACAGGAGUUGGUCGUUGCUCCCAAUAUUUGAGGUAACUGAAUAUUAAUAAAAUUCCCCUUUCUUUUUAUUUUCACUGUAUACUCGUGUUACAACACGACAUCCACCCCCUCUGAACCUGUGUAUCCUCCGGUAUGCACCAAUUUAUCCAAUUGCUGUUUGCUUCAGAAUAUAUCCUCUACGUCUUUGUCCAGUUCAUCUUCGUCACCUUCAUUAUCCAAAUCACUUUCAUCUUCUUGCUGCGGAAUCUCUAUACCUUCAUUAAGGUCUUCCAUAUUCAUCUUUGCGUGUCUUUGUUUAAAUAUUUUUACUCGCUUCCCUGCAAUUGGUAUUUUCAAUUUUGUACCAUCUAACUCCCGUAAUGAGUAAGUCGCAUUAUCAUGAACAGUCGUUACCACAUAUGGUCCAAACCAACGUUUUGAGAAUUUCCGCAAAGUACUAUAUUGAUUAUCCAGACUAUUGUCAUAAACAAGUACCCAGUCACCUUCCUCGAUUGCUUUUGGUCUCAAUCGAUGUUGCUUAUCGAAUCGCGCCUUGUUUUGUAACCUUGCUCUUUUUAACCUUUCCAAUGCUAUCUGGACAUCUUCCGUUCUUUGCUCCAAUUGUCGAAUCCUAAUAGCCAGAAGUUCUUCUCUUGUUAAUCCAUCUUCCCAUGGUAGCAUACUUCAAGUAAGUACCUUUUUUUCAAUCGGCAUAAUUGGUUUUUGACCUGUCAUAAGUUCUACUGGCAUAUAUCCUGUCACCGAACUAUGUGUAGUUCGAUCAGCCCAUAAUGCAAAUGACAAUAGCAGUGGCCACUCUUUAACUUUCCCAUUACAAGCUUUAAUUAAUGCUUUCACAAUAGGUGGGUGACUGCGUUCGCUUUUUGCAUUCCCUUCUAGAUUAUAAGCAGUAGUCAGUGAUAGUUUAACUCCACAUCUUUCAAAGAACUUACGAUCUUCUUGUGCAUUUAAUUCUCCACGAUCUGCAGUGAUUUUUCCUACGCAUCCGUAGUGACAAAUGACAUCUUCAAGCAAAAACCUACAAAUCUCCUCUGUAGAUUUUGUCCUCAAUGCUCUUCCUUCUACUUGAUUUGAUAAAUCUUCACCAACUAAAACCAAAUAUCUCAUAUGCCAUAACCCAACCGGCAUAAUAACCAAAUCAACAACCCAUUUAAAAUGAAUAGCCAGAGGAUACGUAUGAUGAAGACCAUCUCGAUGUCGGAUAUUAGAAUACGAUUGACAGAUUUCACAUGACUCUACAAAUGAGAGCACAUCUCGAUACAUAUUUUUCCACCAAUAUUGUUCCUUGAGUUUAGCAAAAGUAGCCCAGAUUUCUCUAUGCCCUGCCUAUAAACUAUCAUGAAACUCCUUUAAUAAUUUUAGUUUUUCUUCCUUUUUGCCUAUCACUCGUUGUGGCAUCCCAAUUUCUUUCUUUGGUCUCUUCCAUAAGAAUCCAUCUCGAAGUAAAAAUCCAUAUGCUUUUUUUCUUAUUUGUUUGAAUUUUUCUGUAGACCAAUUCUUCUGCUUAGUCAAGGUAUUCCAAUAAUGACCAACAUCCAAUAAUUCUCCUUCAUAAGAUUCUUCAAGAAAUAGCUUGUCUUCUCUGUUGAGAUUUGAUAUUGAAUAGAAUUUCAAUCCGACAUCAUCAAUGUCUUCAACCAUUUCGUCCUCUCUCUCGUAUCUUGCUCGAGAUAGCAUGUCUGCUACUAAAUUGUCCUUUCCAGUGAUAUGCUUAAAUUCUGGAUUUAGUGACUUAAUAUAAGCAAUCCAUCUCAACAUUGCAAUAUCUGGCGUUGAACAGUUAAUAAUCAUUCCAAGCAAUGGCAAGCAAUCUGUUUCAAUUACUACUACUGCCCCAAUCAAAUAGUCCUUUUCAGCUUUCAUAGCCGAAACGACUUCCCAAAGUUCUCUUUUGACUUGCGAAUAUGCACGUUGACGAAUACUUAAAACUUUAGCCCCAAAUCGAACUGCAAAUCUACUCCCAUUCGAAUCAUUUUGACCCACAGCCCAUCCAACGGCAAUUGGACUAGCGUCUACAGUAAGAAUCACUGGUCUAUUGCACUUAUAAUCAACCUUCCUCAAUAUUGGAGGUGACAUCAAUAAUUUCUUCAAUCUUUGCAUUGCCUGAAUAUGCCUUUCUUUCCAUUCAAAUCGGUAAUCCUUGCGUAACAGUUCAUAUAAUGGAUCCGCUAUGUGAGCAAAAUGAGGGAUCCAGAUACGAUAAAAUAUACAUGCACCCAAAAACCUGCGAACCUCUGUUAAAGAACCACAAUCCUCUUUCAUCCUUCCAAUUGCAUCAACUUUAGUCGGAUCUGGUUUUCUUCUGUAAGAUCCACAUAAAUGUCCAACAAUUACAACCUCUCGUACUCCAAAUACGGACUUCAUACCCGAUAAUGUAAGAUGAACUUUUCCAAGCCGAGUUAAAAUCUUUUCACAAUCUUGUAUAUGAUCAACAACAUAUCUGCGACACCUCCUCAUAUCUAAAGUUUCAUCUUUGUCUCCUUCCCUGCACCCUUUUAUAGGAACAUCAUUCAGAAAAGGCAUAGUCUUUUCCGGAAUAAAAUCUCUCAAUACCUUAUUCAUCCCAUUCAUCAUAUGCGCAACCGAGUUGGUCGGGCCUUGAGGAAGAGUGCACAUUCUAACCAAUCCAAGCGGUGUUCUCAUCGUUGAUAUAUCUCUACUUCCUUCGGCAAGUUGAAAUUGAUCAUAACCUGAAUACAAAUCACCCAUUGAAUAGAUCGCCCUUCCAACAAACGCCUCAGCAAAUUCAUCCACAAUAGGUCCAAUUCCUGCAUUCCUGACAGUUACUGCAUUCAUCCGUUGCAUAUCUUGAAUAAACCGUAGUGACCCAUUCUUCUUAGGUACCGUGAACCAUCGACUAGAAUACGGCACAAAUGAAGGUUCUAAUAUUUUCAUCUUUAUCUUUUCAUUCAAUAGUUCCACCAAUUUAGGUAAAUGUGCCCUCGGUACUGGAAUCGGUCUUAGAUUCCAAGGUACAUGCGGUACAGUGAAGAUAACCAUAGGUGUUAUAAUAUUUGGAUCCAUACACCCAAUUUCACGAGAUUCGAAGGCAAAUGAUCUACCUUGUUUAGCCAACAUCUUUUUGAAGCAAGUAAUUUCCUCCGGCAAUAAAGAACCAUCAGAACCAAUCUUCAAUUCUUCAAAAGUCUCUUCAGUAAACUGAUGUCCAAUAUUCAUUGGAUGUCUUAAAUUUUCUUCUUUUGAUGCUUCUCUCAUUUGUUCUUUAGAAUCCUCUGGUAAUGGUCCGACAACAGGCUUUACCUUCUUAUCUGUCGUUUUAUAUCUCGUCUCUACUGUGACUUCUGGUGCUUGAAAAGAUUCAAGCAUGGUAUAAACCUCUCUCGAAUGAAUCUCAACAAUCUUAUCAUUAUCCCCUAAUCCAAUAGAUGUAAUCAAUUCCAAUGAAUCUUCCAGUCCAUUUUCUUCAUAAACACCCAAAAUCCUCUCAUCAUCUUGCAAUGUAUCUAUCUUACGUAAUUGUCCUUCAAUAUUAUAUAAACUUUUUCUUUCUUUUCUUUUAAAAUCAUCAACUUUCUUAUACAUAAUAUUUCCAUUCUCCAAUAUACCAAUAAAACUCGCAUCAAAGGCACCUUCAUCUCGCGAGAGUACCUCCUCUUUUGUACCUCCAUAAUCUCGCUUUACAGUGGUACCUCCCCAAAAUCCUUAAAUCCUUCAACAAUCUUUGGCAAUGGUUUCUCCCUCAACCUAUCUCGAUUCCGUUCAUGGUUAGGAGGUACUGUUAGAAAUUGUACAGUUUUCCUCCCAUCUUCGCUCCGUACCCUUGCAUAAGCAGAACCAUCGUCAAGUACUUUUAUUUCCAUCCGUGUUGCCGUGAUAUAAGGUUGUCCUAAAAUCAACGGAUAAGACGUUGUAUCUUGAACAAAGAAAUGUUGCUCCAUCGCAACAUCUCCAAUCCGAAUUUUGUCAUCUGGAUAAGCUCCAUAUAAUUCGCCCCGUGUGUUAUUAGCUGCUCAUAUUGCCCAUCCAUGUUCCAUAUCAAUUGGCCAUUUUUGCUUUUUAUAAAGAUCUUUAGACAUGAGAUUUAUUUCAGAACCAUGGUCGACCAAAGCAACUAUUGGUUCUUCUAUAUCUCCUACCUUCACCAAUACCUCAGUAGUUGCCCUUGCCCAAUGCUUUUGAGUAUAAUGGCUCAAAGUUUCCAUUUCCUUAUCACUAGAAUCUUCGAAACGUACUCACUGAUUAUACCCAUUCUUUUCAUUUGUUGGUUGCUUGUAACCAAUAUCAACCUCUUCUUCAUCUCUACAUAUUCUUGCAUCAAUAGCAUGACUCAUUCCAGUUUCGCUCAUUAAUUGCCUCUUUCGCUUAAUGCUGUCAAUGAUAACAUCAUCAAAUUCCUUCUUUGUAAUUCCCAAGACUUCUUUCAAUGUGAAUUCCACCUUAGCAUUUAAUAUACGUUCUUCCAACACCCCUUUCAAAUUUGUUGCCGCUUCAAUGUCAAAAAGUAGCUUAUAAGCAAUUGAUUUGCCCUUAUCUUUUGUCUCCGUUGUUUUUUCUCCCAAUGAUGCUGAGAUAUCCUUUACAGGCAAUUCUUGUGAAGCUGCCUCCCGAGCCUUGUCUCCUCGAGUUUGCCUCUUAAAAGAAUUUCCUUCUCUAGUAUCAUCAAAAUUUCCUCGUCUUUUUUCUUCCAUCAAAGCUUCAUGUUGGCUCUUAGCAAUAUAUGCAUGAACUGAAAGAGACUCAACAGGAUCCUCCCAACCUGUUCUACCUCAUAUUGUAGCUGCAGUUCUCAAUAGCGCUUCUCGAGGUAAUUUUCCUUCUUGCAUUGUAGAAACGGCAGAAGCCCAAAACUCACUAGUUUCCGUACUUCCACCAAUUUCAUCAUCUACUCUAGCACCAUAACUUGCACUUUCUCGUGCUACUGUUUCAUGCUCUUUUAAGUAAUCUUGAAUCAAUGCUCUUAUUCCUCCCUUGCCAAAAUUGGUUUGAAGAAGAUCCUCUCUAUUUUUCAAUGCUAUCUUCCCAUCUUUCCAGCAAAUAAUUCCCUGCCGUAUCAUAUUAUUAAAUUCAUUGCAAUCUUUUCUAGUGUGUGAAGCAUCAUCACACCAAAUGCAUCUUUGUACAUAUCCUUGUUUUGAAACAUUCUUCGAAUUGUUUAUAGAAGUAUUCUCUUCAAGUCUUGCCAAUUUGAUUUGAAGAUCUCGCAUUCCUCGUAUAAUUUCUUCCAUACCCAUAUCUGCUUUCUUUGACAAGGAUGUCGAAGGUUGAACUGUAGGCAUUGUUGGUGGUGUUGUACGUACUGGAGCUUUGGGUGCUUGUACUGUUUUCAGAAUAUUGCUCCUAUCCUUCCUCUUUUCUUUUUUUGUAAGCAAUCCUACCGCAUCUUCAAUGUUCUUCCACUUCGUUGUCAAUCCUUCAUCUUCUUCUUUGUCUUCAAGAAGGGGUUCUAAUUUCUCUUGCAAUUCUCCAUCAGCAGCUUGAAGAAAUAGAUCAACUUUGUUCGGCUCCAAUGUCAAUUUUUCUACCUUCGAUAAUUGAAAGUACUGCCUCUCAAAUUCCCUUAGUAGCUCUGUUGCUUGCAAAUUCUUAUUGGGCCGUUCAAUCCAUCCCAGAAACAGCUUCUUAGUAACGCGAUCAGCAUCUUCCAAGAAAUAUUCGUCUUUCAAUGCAUGUGAAAAAUCCUCCCAUGAAUUCCCAUAACGAUCCGUAAUCGAUGUAAUGUGGUCUCUUAUCUCCGGUAUCGUGGCAAGUCCGAAUAGUGCAUCCAUUUUCUUCUCAAAAACCUGAUUUAAUUCCAUUUCACGAACAUAACAUCUUAAAUACCUUGAAAUAUUCCUCCCAUCAAAUUGAUCAAUUUUAUUGACCACUGCUUGCAAUGCUUUGGUUGCCAAAGCUUCCUUUCGAUCAUUGCCUUGUUGUUGCUGCAUUGACAAUGAGAAGGCUUGAAACAAACUAGCAAUAGAUGGAUCCAUGUGCAUACCUUGUCCUUUAAAAGACUCCCCACUAGAAACUCCUCCCAAAAAUCCUUCAAAAUUUUUAUUUUCGUUUUCCAUAAAAAUAAAGAUAAAAUCAACCGAAAUCCAAUACCUUCUACCUCAAGCUUUCACGUCGGGUUCACCACUUUUUGUCGUAUUACGUGCUUUCUUGCUCGAGAACGUGCCGGGCGUCUGGAUGUAGAAGGUAGUAUGGAGAUUCGCCGAUAGUCAAGCAGUCUAUCAGUUUUGACUGCUGGAAUAUAAACGACUGCAACAAUGUACCGUAAAUCUAUACAGAUGCUCUUCGGCUGCUUGUCGAAGUACUUUUUGUCCCAGUCGGUAGGUCUCUAGACGUUACAGAGAACCCCGAACAACCCAAACUGUUAAUCUUCAAUACCGCUUUGUACUUACAAUCUUGCAUCCACUGACUGUCUUGUUAGAUUAACCCAAUAAAUUUCAUUCACUCCGCAUACUCAAUCCUAUAGACACCCUUUUAAUCCUUCAAUCACAGACGUAACUCGAUUUCACAAAACAGUCAAGAGUAUUCAAACCCACUUCAUUUAAAAAUCCUGAUUCACCAUUACAAUACAGACUUCAGCAGCGAUUGCCUCAGUCUUCCCAAAACCCUACGAAGAAGAAAAAUCCAAAUUCUCUGUCUUUCCUUCCCCGACCCGAAGCAUGAAGCUCCUCUCUCUUUAAUCCCUUUGAUCUCCAAAAACCUCCAAUGAAAACCGAACUAGUAACCUUGCAAAAGCUUGAAAACUAGCUCCCCCCGAUUCCCAGAAAAAAAAAAAAAAAUCCCCCCUUCAAAACUAUAUCCCCCCUAACCUUAUCCUCUGAAUUUCUUCAAUCUUCUAUCUUAGAUCUGGAAUUGGCUCCCACCGUCAAGCUUGGAUCCGAAAUUGGCUCUCGCCAUCAGAGCUUUCUCCUCCGUUUUUACCUUUAAGAAAUCCAUUUACCGAAAACAACGUUCCCUGAAACGGCACAGAGAACAGGAUAGCCUGAAACAGAAUCGAACCCCGUAAUCGGGACCACAUUGAGUCGCCGGACCAAUUCAGGUUCCAUAUUGGGAAAGAUGCCUGUAGUAACCUGGAUGUUCCCGUAAUUGGGUCAAAUUGGUCCUCGCGUUAGAUUGGCUAAGAUCCAUAGUAAGACCUUGAUUUCCCGUAAUUAGACUGCAUUGGGUUGACCGACCAAUUCAGGUCUCAUAUUGGAUAAGUGGACCCGGAUUGGAUUCUCGAAAUUGGAUCCAAUUGGCUCUUUGAACCCGUCGUGUGAAUUGGUCCUUCUCUUCCUACUGACUCCUGUUAUUGGAAUUGAAUGGAGCAUUUCAGUAUGCUUCGGCUGACUGUAACGGGGUGACUGAACCUGGCCACUCAGUAUUUGUAUGGGAGUUGGUUGAUGCUCCUAAUAUUUGAGGUAACUGAAUAUUAAUAAAAUUCCCCUUUCUUUUUAUUUUCACUGUUUACUCGUGUUACAAUACGACAACGUGGCAACAUUCUAUAGGAUCUCGAAUAUGUGUUGACUUUGUAGCACACAUGCCUUGACUUACAAGGCAAGUUCUUCUACGUGUGGGCCACAUAGUUAGCUUGUUCUUCAAGCUAACAACAUCUAUGGCACAUGGCCAACUUAUUGACGACGUUUCUAAUCCAAAAAGUCAAUUAAAGACACCUAUGAAGUCAAAGUAGUAUCUAUGAAGCUUCUAGGAAGCUUCCAUAUUAAAUACUAUAGAAUUAACUUACUUUUAUCUACUUUUACAUAUUUGUAUAUGUAAUUACUAGCUUACAUGAUUAUGUUCGUGACAAAACAUGGAAAAAAAAAGACCUCAUUGUACUUUUGUAGCCAUUUGGGAUUGUGUUGAUAAUUCCAUCUUCUCUCACAUAUGAGCAUGCAAAACAUCGAAUGAAUCAUGGUUAAGCUAGUAAAAACCACAUACUCCACUAGUAACAUUGUUACUCAUGCACAUCUACAAGAGAAGUUCAUAACAACAAAAAUAAAGGCAAAAGAGUUAAUAAUUCAAUACUAAUAUAACUUCAAAACUUUAUUCCAACAAUGUUACUCUAUAGGAGUAACUCUUCCAUCACAAAUGAAAAUACUCACAUUUAUGAGAUCCAUGCUAUUCAAAUAUGACACGAUCAUUUAAAUAUAAAGGAUAAUAUAAAAUGUGACUUUAUCACAGUUAUUUGCAAUCCUCUUUCAAGAAGAGACAACUAUGAAAGGAUUUUCUUUAGAGUUUUAAGCUCUCUUUGGAAGAUGCAAAGGAAAGAGUAAGUGGCAACCAAAAAAUGCUUCAAAAUCACUAUCAAAAGAUCACAAUUAUAAAAAAAUAAAAUCAACAUCCACUAUUCUAUGUCCUCAUUGCAAAAAGAUGGAACAUUGGGACUUAGAUUGUUUUAAAAAUAAAUCCAAAGUUGUUGUAAAUAUGGCAACAACCUUCAUAGAAAAUAAGAAACUUAAGAAUAUAUGAAGAUCUGAAAAUGUAGAUGAAAUAUCUCCUAUAUUUUAUGCCUAUGUAUAUUUUAUACAAACAUAUUGCUCCACAAAAUCAACUCCACUUGGAGUAAUCAAAGAUGGCCAAUGGUUCAUCAUCACUAGUUAAACCCACUACUUAGCACAUAUAAAGAAUCAAUUCAUCAUGUUUAAACCUUUUUCAUCUAAUAAAAAUAAUGUUUAUCUUGGGGAUAAGACUACUUCAUUAUAUGCAGCCAAGGUGAAGUAGAAAUCACAAUAAUGAAUGGUUAUAUAAUCUAGCUUAUCAAUACACUUAAUGCCCUAGAUAUACAAAAGAGCUUAUUUUUUGUUAAUAGUUUUGAUCAACAAUAUAGAGGAAUACUUCUAAAAAAAUUAAAAAUAUUGAUUGCUCUCUUGCAAUGAUUCAAUAUUUAUUGAAUGCUCACUUCAUGAUAAUUUAUACUUAUUGGGCACCAUCUUAGAUUCCAUUAAUUCUAUCCCGCAAGCUUACAAUGUGUCUAAUAUUCUAACUAGCAUAUUGCAUUUACAUCAUUACAUAAAUAUGGCGUCAUGAUGUGAUAUGACUAUUAAGUAAAAGAGAUGAAGAAUCUAUUAUAUUAUAAAAGAUCUUACUUCAGAUAUUAUAGCAAAUUAUCUUAGAAAAUAGACAAUAGUCCAAAAGAAAGUAGAACUAAAGAUUUAAAUGCUACCUUUUUACAAAGUAGACUUCUAUUUACUUUGUAAGGCCACAAAUAAGGCAAAACAAGGUAGAUUAGAAAAAUAAAGAAUAUGAACAUAUGUAGAAAGAAGUUAGGAGUUGAUUUAAAUAAAAAUUAACUCAAAAGGAUAAAAUUUGAUACUAAAAAGAAUCAGUUAUCAACUUGGAUGGGAAUCAGAUCCCAAGGCAUAAAAUUGGGCACAUACAACAAUUCAAAGGUUCUUUGGUAAAUUGGAGAGUGGAUUUUGAGAAAAGACUUGAUAGGGUUCUUUUAGCAUUGAUUUUGAAAGAAUUGAAUAUGUAAUGAUUUUAUAAAAGCUUUGCAAAGUCACAGUUAUUUUGGGUGACUCUAGAAUUUAUAAAAUAAAAAAGUAGAUUAUGUUUUAGAGAAUUUCAUGACUUUGGUAGUAGAUCUGUGGUUCAAAUUUUGACGACUUAUGAGAAUAGUUGUUUGAAGUAUAUAUUGUAAGUUUGAACUUGAUCGAAUGAUUGAAUUGAAGGCUAUUGAAUUUCAAGUAGGUUGAAGUCUCAAAAAUUAGACCUUGAGAGGUAUUUAGGGUUUCUAAGAUCUUUAGCAACCUACUUAUUGGAUUAGAAUAAGAUUUAUGUUUAAGAAUAAUAGACUUGAUUUUCUAUAUAUAUGUGAAAUUUAAGAAUAAUUGAAUAGUUCGAUAAGGAAAUAUUGAGACUAGAAGUUCAAUCUUUAGAUUAGAAUAGGAGGUUGGCCAAUACUUGAGCAGAUUUUAGAUUUUUUCUUCCAUUUAAUAAGUGCAAUUAUCUUCAAUUUUUGUGUGCUUGUUGCCAACUUAAUUUUUAAAAGGAUUGUAAAUUUUUAGGUAAGAUCAAUGGUUCAAUUGAUAGAUAUUAAAGUUCUAAAUUGUGCUAGGAUUAAAUUGAUUAGGAUUUGGAUUUGGUUUAGGACUUAAGAUUAGUUUAGGAUUUGAUUUAGGAUUUGAUUUAGGAUUUAGUUUAAGAUUUAUGAUUUGUCUAGGAUUUGAUCUAAGAUUUGGUUUAAAAUUUAUGAUUUGUCUAGGAUUUGAUCUAGGAUUUAAUUUAGGAUUUAUGAUUUGUUUAGGAUUUGAUCUAGGAUUUGGUUUAGGAUUUAGGAUUUAUCUAGGAUUUGAUUUAAGAUUUGAUUUAGUAUUUAGGGUUUGUUUAAGAUUUGAUUUAGGAUUUGAUUUAAGAUAUAGGAUUUUUCUAGGAUUUGAUUUAGAGAUUGGUUUAGGAUUUAGGAUUUUUCUAGGAUUUGAUUUAUGGUUUAGGAUUUAGAGUUUGUGUAGGAUUUAAUUGAAGUCCAUUAGGAUUUCAACUAGAGUUAAUUAAAACUUGGUUGAGAUUUAUUUAAGAUUUAUUUGUGAUUAUUCUAAUAUUUUUUAGAGCUUCUUAAGGAUUCUUUUAAGAUUUAUUGUGGAUUUUCUUUCAACUCCUUUAAGAUUUUUUAUUGUUUCUUUGUAAUUUCUUUAAGGAUUCUUUUGAAUUUGAUUAAAGUUUGUUUAGUAUUAUUAAGGUUUAAUUAGAAUUUAAUAUUCUGUUAGAAUUAGGAUUUUUUUGUAGCAAUUUCCAUUCUACCUUCCACAACUAGGUGCUUGAUGUACUCUUGAGGAAGACUUCAUGUAAUACAAUACUAAGAUCCAUACAACACUCUCCUCAAGAGUUCAAUACCAAUCUACAAUUGUAAUUCAAACAAUGUCGACUCCUAUCCAUUAACACUACAUCUUCUUCUUGUAUUAUCAAUAUACAAUACACCAUUGCUUCUUUUAAGUCAAAGUUCCUAAGUCGGCAAUAUUUGCCUUUUCAUUCUUUAAAUUGAUGAUUUUACAACCUUGUGUGCAACAACACAUUAUUUGUAUCACCUAUUGAUCUAUUGUUGUACCUUUGCAAUUGAAAAAAAAUUCAUUGUAAAUCAAUAUUUUACCACUAAAAUUAAUCUAAGGAUGUUCACAAAAAAAAAAAUACUCAACACACUACUUCAAAGAUCUAAGCUCUAUUUCAAUUUAAAUUCUAACUUAUCUUACUUUGACAAACAUAUAAGUCCAAUUAUGGCAUUAAUAAUUGAGAUUUAUAAGUUUUAAUUAUCUCAACUAAUUUAUAAAGUAUGGGAUUGUCAUAGGCUUAUCCAAAAGUAAAAUUUCUCCUCAUGUUUUCUCUAUGUGCCUCAGUAAAAAGAAAAUUGCAUCUAAAUUUUUAAAAGUGGCUACCUUUUGUAUCUCUUAUCUUUUGGAGCUUGUCCACUCUGACCUUAGUAAUUGCAUUGCUACUCCAAUAUUCUCUAGAUUUGAGUAUUAUGCCACAUUUAUAGAUGACUUCUUCUAUUAUAUUGUGCUCUGAUUCCUCCACUACAAAAAUGAAGAAUUUGAUGUUUUCAAAGUAUUUCAUGUAUGAACUGAAAAUCAAAUCAGCCACAAAUUAAAAAUCUUACAAUCUAACUAAGGAAGAGAAUACAUAUCCUUCAACUUCAAUCAAUACUUCAACAUCCAUGGAAUUCAAUAUUAACUUAUAAUAAUAUACACCCCUAACAAAAUGGAAUGACAAAUAGAAAUAAUUGUACCUUAUUGAAUGCAAAUUGAUGUAUGUUUCAUGAUGCCAAACUUGCCAAAUCCUAUGAAGGUGAAGCCAUCACGUGUGCAACAUAUCUUCAAAAUUGUUGUUCCAUUAAGGCCAUCCCUCCCAAUACCAUUUUAUUUGAACUUUGGCAUAAAUACAAACCUAAUGUCUCUCACUUUUGUGUUUUUAAGAAAAAAACUUAUGCCCAAAUUCUUAUUAAAAUACAAGUAAAUCUUCAUUUUUGCUUUAUUGAAUGCAUCUUCUUUAGCUAUAAUUUACAAAAAGAAUGUUAUAAAUUGCAAAAAGUGAGUAUUGAAACAAUACUCAUUUUACGUAAUGUCUGAUUUUAAGAGGAGAAAUUUUUAAAUAUAACUCUACAACCUCAUGUUAUUAAAUUUUUGAAUUAACAAUUAGAAAGUGACCUAAUAUUCUACUCUUUCUGUGGUAUUACAUAACUUCUAGCAGUGUCCUUAUUACCAACCUUACUAUUUAUUAUACUACACACCCCACUAAUUUCGUCUUCAAAUGAUAGUACUUACUCAUCCAUUCCAAAACCUUUUCAUGAUGCACUUGGCUAUCUCUUAAUUCUUCUUCCACUGUCUACUAAAUUGCCUUCUUGAUUCAAGCCUUCUUCUAUAGUCCUUCCUAUGCUACUGCUUGGUAUCACUUCAUCUUUAGGUUCAAUUGCCCUCAUCUAGCUACCUUCUCUACUUGUAUCAAGAACACCCCACUUCAAUGCUUGCUAUGUUUAGUUCUCCCUUCUUCUAUUGACAACCACAACUAAUUGAUUCAUACUCAUUUCUCAAGCUCAUGCCAUCAUACUUAGCAUCUUUCAUAAGAUCAUUUUACAAUUCAAGCUAGUAUCUACAAUAUUGCUCUUAUAAAUUCACGUCCAUCUGUGAUAACUUUUCUACCUUAAUGUCACACCUUGACUUGUAGCAACAAGUUGUUUCUCUAACUUAUGCCUUAAAAGAAAACUACAUCCUUUCUUCUCUAUUGCUAAGAUGUCAACCUCUUCGACUUCCAAAACACAAACAAGCACUCUUUAUAUAAUUACUUUUUAUCUCAAAAGGAUUUGCCAUGUAUCAAUAAGCCUUGUGCUCCCUAAAAGCCUUCUAAUGAUAAUUUUCUAUUAAAAAAGAGCUCAAUUUUUAUACUACCAAUAGCAUAUGGAAUUUUAUUAAGCUUCUUCUUAGCCAGUGCUUCAUCACAUGUAGGUAGUUCUUUAAACUUAAAUUAAAACUAAAUGGUGAUAUUGAUUAAUUUAGAGCUUGCUUGGUAGUUCAUGGAUUUAGCCAAGUCUAGAAUCUUGAUUAUACUGAGAUAUUUUUCUUGUUGAUUAAAAUCUAAUUUGUGCAACUAAUCUUGGCUUUUACUACUCAACACAACCUCCACAUUCACAAAAUGGAUGUAAAAAUAAUAUUUUUGGAUGAAAAUUUAAAUGAAAAAAUCUACAUGAAUUAUCCAAAAGAAAUAACACCUCCUAAAUCUAGUAGGAUUUGUCAACUCCAUAAGACAUUAUAUCGACUCAAACAAUCACUCAAAGAGUGAUACAAAGUGAUUAAUAAAUUUUUAACCACUUUGAGGUUUAAAAACUUAACUAUUAAUACCAAUAUUUACUACCUUUGAGAAGACAUUGCCUUUAUCAUCCUUAUCUUCUAUAAAAUUGAUAUGUUAAUUAUGAAAAAAAAACAUCCCAUUAUUUCAAACCAUCAAAAAAUAAUUAAAUGAAUAACUUUUGCUUUUUGACUUUAGCAAUGCCUAUCAUCUUUUUAGCCUAUAAAUCAACUGUGACAUGAUAUAAGGUUGAUUUGAAAUAACUCAAAUUCUCUAUGUACACUAGAAGUUACAAAAAUUUGACUACUAUGAUUUUUGUUUUGUUUCUAUUCCAAUUGCUCUUAAAAUCAAGCUUUUUGAAAUAGAUUAUCUAUAGAUAGAUGAAUACUAUAUAAUUUACUAUUAAGAACAUAAAUCUUAAAAAAUAAAAACCUCAAUACAUUCUUAUGUCAUUCAAAAAGACUUAAAAAUCACUCAAACAUAAUAUAGUAUUAAACUAGAAUAGCUAUUGCCAAAGAUAAGAAGACUAGAAAGUCUUGAAAUAAGACUAAUAACUAAAAAGGCAUUGAUAAGAGUGAAGAAGACUUUACUCUUGCCUAUAUAUAUUUUCAUAACUAGAAAUUAUAUGUCAAUGUCCUAUAUGACUUCCAAAAUGUAUUGACUUUGUAAGACACAUAUCUUAAUUUAUAAGGUAAGUUUUCUAUAUGUAUGCUAUACAAUUAAAUUAUUUCAUAAGCUAUCCAUAUAUGGUUAACUUGUUGAUCAAGUUUCUAAUCUAAAAAUCAACUACAAACACAA